UUAAAAAUUUUAUUUUGAUUAAAAUAAUGAGUAUAUUUUUAUUUUACAUGUAAAUUAUAGUAAUUUAAAAUAUGAUUUUUAAUAGGUCAUAAAGCAUAGAUUUUUAAUCACAGUAUUUAAAAUUAAAAAAUUAAGGAGACUUAGAAUUAGAAAUUUAUAAUAAUAUUAACAUAAUUUGUGCCAGCAGUUGCGGUUAUACAAAUAAUAUAAUUUAUUAUUAUUGAUUAUUAAUUAGUAGAUAAAAUUAAUAAAUAAAAAGAUAUAAUUUAUUAAGUGAAAUUUUAAAUUAUAAAAAAUUUUUAUAAAAAUUUAUGAAGUUAAUAAAUUUUAUUUAAGACUAGGAUUAGAUACCCUAUUAUAAAAAUGUAAAUAUAAUAAAAUCAGAUUAUUAAUAGUUAAAAUCUUUAAAGUUAAAAAAUUUGGCGGUAUUUUAAUCUAUUCAGAGGAACCUGUCCUAUAAUUGAUAUUCCACGAUUAAAUUAACUUAUUUUAAAAAUUUAUAUAUCGUCGUAGUGGAAUAUUUUAGUAGAAUUAUAAUAUUCAAAAUUUUAAAAAUAAAUAUAAAUCAGAUCAAGAUGUAGUAUAUAAAUAAGGAGAGAUGGGUUACAACAAUUUAAAAUUAUGGAUUUAUUAUUGAAAAUAAUAUUAAAAUAGGAUUUGAUUGUAAUUUAGUUUAUUUAGAUUGAAUGAUUUUAGCUCUAAAAUAUGCACAUAUCGCCCGUCGCUCUCAUUUUAAGUUGAGAUAAGUCGUAACAAAGUAAAUGUACUGGAAAGUGUAUUUAGAUAG
rnacentral:ncRNA from 1 species